rnacentral:lncRNA from 1 species
UAAAAGCGGGCAACAAAUUAUUCUAAGGCUUAGUUUUAUAUUGAGAUCUAUCUAACGCUUUUAGAUAUAAUAAAGUUGAGAAAAAAGUAUAUAGGGAUAUGUUUCUACGUUUUUCAGUGAGACAACAAAAAAUAUAUCGUAACCGACUCAUCGCGAUAUGCGGAACAACAAAUAGCAUAUUUUUUCAACGUACUUUUUCACCGCACGUAACGCAAUCUCCCCGCAAUCCCAAACGAUAACUGCAAAUUAAGUAAAAUUUUAUGUUACACGUAUAUAAA